rnacentral:rRNA from 1 species
CAGCAGCCACGGUAAUACGUAGGGCGCAAGCGUUGUCCGGAAUUAUUGGGCGUAAAGAGCUCGUAGGCGGUCUGUCGCGUCUGGUGUGAAAUCCCGAGGCUCAACCUCGGGCUUGCAUCGGGUACGGGCAGACUAGAGUGCGGUAGGGGAGACUGGAAUUCCUGGUGUAGCGGUGGAAUGCGCAGAUAUCAGGAGGAACACCGAUGGCGAAGGCAGGUCUCUGGGCCGCAACUGACGCUGAGGAGCGAAAGCAUGGGGAGCGAACAGGAUUAGAUACCCCUGUAGUCCCUGUCUCUUAUAA